rnacentral:rRNA from 1 species
ACGCUCGACACCUACAGGAGGCAGCAGUCGGGAAUAUUGCGCAAUGGAGGAAACUCUGACGCAGUGACGCCGCGUGCAGGAAGAAGGUUUUCGGAUUGUAAACUGCUUUAGACAGGGAAGAAAGAAAUGACAGUACCUGUAGAAUAAGCUCCGGCUAACUACGUGCUAGCAGCCGCGGUAAUCUGAGCGGGCUGGCAAGGC